rnacentral:rRNA from 1 species
AGUUAAGGCUGAGGCGUGAUGACGAGGCACCACGGUGCUGAAGUGACAAAUGCCCUGCUUCCAGGAAAAGCCUCUAAGCAUCAGGUAACAUCAAAUCGUACCCCAAACCGACACAGGUGGUCAGGUAGAGAAUACCAAGGCGCUUGAGAGAACUCGGGUGAAGGAACUAGGCAAAAUGGUGCCGUAACUUCGGGAGAAGGCACGCUGACAUGUAGGUGAAGCCCCUGCGGGUGGAGCUGAAGUCAGUCGAAGAUACCAGCUGGCUGCAACUGUUUAUUAAAAACACAGCACUGUGCAAACACGAAAGUGGACGUAUACGGUGUGACGCCUGCCCGGUGCCGGAAGGUUAAUUGAUGGGGUUAUCGCAAGAGAAGCUCCUGAUCGAAGCCCCGGUAAACGGCGGCCGUAACUAUAACGGUCCUAAGGUAGCGAAAUUCCUUGUCGGGUAAGUUCCGACCUGCACGAAUGGCGUAAUGAUGGCCAGGCUGUCUCCACCCGAGACUCAGUGAAAUUGAACUCGCUGUGAAGAUGCAGUGUACCCGCGGCAAGACGGAAAGACCCCGUGAACCUUUACUACAGCUUGACACUGAACAUUGAGCCUUGAUGUGUAGGAUAGGUGGGAGGCUUUGAAGCGUGGACGCCAGUCUGCGUGGAGCCAACCUUGAAAUACCACCCUUUAAUGUUUGAUGUUCUAACCUGGCGCCAUAAUCUGGCGUGGGGACAGUGUCUGGUGGGUAGUUUGACUGGGGCGGUCUCCUCCCAAAGUGUAACGGAGGAGCACGAAGGUCAGCUAAUCCUGGUCGGACAUCAGGAGGUUAGUGCAAUGGCAUAAGCUGGCUUGACUGCGAGAGUGACGGCUCGAGCAGGUGCGAAAGCAGGUCAUAGUGAUCCGGUGGUUCUGUAUGGAAGGGCCAUCGCUCAACGGAUAAAAGGUACUCCGGGGAUAACAGGCUGAUACCGCCCAAGAGUUCAUAUCGACGGCGGUGUUUGGCACCUCGAUGUCGGCUCAUCACAUCCUGGGGCUGAAGUAGGUCCCAAGGGUAUGGCUGUUCGCCAUUUAAAGUGGUACGCGAGCUGGGUUUAGAACGUCGUGAGACAGUUCGGUCCCUAUCUGCCGUGGGCGCUGGAGAAUUGAGGGGGGCUGCUCCCAGUACGAGAGGACCGGAGUGGACGCAUCACUGGUGUUCGGGUUGUCAUGCCAAUGGCACUGCCCGGUAGCUAAAUGCGGAAGAGAUAAGUGCUGAAAGCAUCUAAGCACGAAACUUGCCCCGAGAUGAGUUCUCCCUGAGACU